UAUAAAAGAUAUAAAGAACUCAAUGUUUUCAUUUUUGUGGGAUUAUAAACCAGAUAAAAUUGCGAGAAACAAAAUUGUUCAAAACUACAAAAAUGGAGGACUCAAAAUGAUUGAUCUUGAAAAUUGUAUGGACGCACUAAAAUCAAGCUGGGUAAAACGGAUGUUAUAUCAACCAACUACAAAAUGGGUAAAAAUUUACAGUGACAUGCUUGAAAAUAAUGGCAAUCUCUUUAUCUUUAAAUGCAACCUAAAAUCAUCAAACAUAGACUCUUUGGAAUUGAAAUCUAAAUUUUUAACUGAAUGCUUAAAAGGAUGGUGCCGCGUGAACUAUAAAGAAAAACAGACAAUCAUAGGGAAAGAUAUACUCUGGAACAAUUCAAACAUAUUACUAUUUAAUAAAACAUUUUUUUACAAAACAUGGUUCAAUCGAGGUAUUACACAAAUAGAACAUAUCUUUAACUACAGGAACAAACAUUUUCAACUUUCACAGAACUUCAAGAAUGAUAUGAUUUGCCCCAUUCUGAUUUUUUAAAAUACCACACGUUAGUUGGUUGUAUACCAAAAUGCUGGAAAGAAAAAAUGAACAAUGAAGAAAUGUCAUACGUGCCACCUAGUUACCUAAUUAACAGUAUCACCCCGGCAACAAAAAUAUGCAAAUUUAUAAACAAACUGUUAAUAGAGGAUACACAUAUAAAAAACAACAAACAAGAACACAAAUGAGAAAUGCUUUUUAAUAAACAGUUACAUUGGGAAUCAAUAUUUACAAAUUAUAUUCAAAUCACAAUCGAUUCCUCCUUAAGAACGUUCCAGUAUAAAUAUCUGAUGAACAUUGUUCCCAACAACGAAAAUCUGUUAAAAUAUGGCAUUGUAGAAUCUAGUCUCUGUGAUUUAUGUUCAAUGUCUGUUGAAACUUAUAUGCAUUUGUUUUGGAAUUGUCCUAAUGUUCAUAGUUUUUGGAACAACAUUGAGACAUAUAUAGAAACCCAACUAAGCAUUUCUACUGAUUUCAAAUUGUCUUAUGAAUGUAUUUCACUUUGUAAUAUUUUUAUCAACAAUAGGAACUGCUCAAACUGUGUCAAUUUUAUUGUAUUACUAGGAAAAUAUUUUAUAUUUAAAUGCAAAUAUCAACGAUGUCCACCAAUUUUUGAAAGUUUUUUGGAAUAUUUUAAAUACAAAAUAAAAAUCGAAGUGAUAAUCGCAAGCUGGAAGGGUAAAACUGAAAACAUACUCAGAAAUGGAAUAAUUUUGUAAUGUAAUUCUGUUUUCUUAAAUUUCAGGGGAAAAAAAAAAGAUAAAUAUGUUAAUAUUUCUACUUCAUAUGCUUUUCUUCUUGUAUAGGUUUGUGUCCUUUAUUGUUCAAAACAUACCACCUUUUUUAUUUCCAUUAUCAUUUUCAUUUUCAUGUAUUCCAUAUGUAUAUAUAUAUGUACUUUUUCCUGUGUAAAAUGAUUGUAUGUGCAUAUAUUUUGUAAUGAAUAAAGUACUAAAAACGGAAAAAAAAACAAAAAAAAAACAUUAACUCCGAAAAAAAUAAAUAAAUAAAGGUUGUGCACUUCCAGGUACUAGUAUAUACCAUGUAUCAUGUAGGCUGGUUGUGCACUUCCAGGUAUAUAUCAUGUAUCAUGUAGGCAGGUUGUGCACUUCCAGGUAUAAACCAUGUAUCAUGUAGGCAGGUUGUGCACUUUCAGGUAUAUACCAUGUAUCGUGUAGGCUGGUUGUGCACAUCCAGGUAUAUACCAUGUAUCAUGUAGGCAGGUUGUGCACUUCCAGGUAUAUACCAUGUAUCAUGUAGGCUGGUUGUGCACUUUCAGGUAUAUACCAUGUAUCAUUUAGGCUGGUUGUGCACUUUCAGGUAUAAACCAUGUAUCAUGUAGGCAGGUUGGGCACUUCCAGGUAUAUACCAUGUAUCAUGUAGGCUGAUUGUGCACUUCCAGGUAUAAACCAUGUAUCAUGUAGGCUGGUUGAGCACUUCCAGGUAUAUACCAUGUAUCAUGUAGGCAGGUUGUGCACUUUCAGGUAUAUACCAUGUAUCAUGUAGGCUGGUUGUGCACUUCCAGGUAUAUACCGUGUACCAUGUAGGCUGGUUGUGCACUUCCAGGUAUAUACCAUGUAUCAUAAAGGCAGGUUGGGCACUUCCAGGUAUUUACCAUGUAUCAUGUAGGCUGGUUGUGCACUUCCAUGUAUUUACCAUGUAUCAUGUAGGCUGGAUGUGCACUUCCAGGUAUAUACCAUGUAUCAUAAAGGCAGGUUGGGCACUUCCAGAUAUUUACCAUGUAUCAUGUAGGCUGGUUGUGCACUUCCAUGUAUUUACCAUGUAUCAUGUAGGCUGGAUGUGCACUUCCAGGUAUAUACCAUGUAUCAUAUAGGCACGUUGGGCACUUCCAGGUAUAUACCAUGUAUCAUGUAGGCUGGUUGUGCACUUCCAGGUAUUUACCAUGUAUCAUGUAGGCUGGAUGUGCACUUCCAUGUAUAUACCAUGUAUCAUGUAGGCUGGUUGUGCACGUCCAGGUAUAUACCAUGUUUCAUGUAGGCUUGUUGUGCACUUUGAGGUAUAUACCAUGUUUCAUGUAGAUUGGUUGUGAACUUCCAGGUAUAUACCAUGUAUCAUGUAGGGUGGUUGUGCACUUUGAGGUUUAUACCAUGUUUCAUGUAGGUUGUGCACUUCGCACUCCCAGGUAUAAACCAUGUAUCAUAAAAUUAUAGGCUUGUUGUGCACUUUCAGGUAUAUACCAUGUAUCAUAUAGGCUGGUUGUGCACUUCCAGGUAUAUACCAUGUAUCAUGUACGCUGGUUGUGAACUUCCAUGUAUAUAUCAUGUAUCAUGUAGGCCGGUUCUGCACUUUCAGGUAUUUACCGUGUAUCAUGUAGGCUGGUUGUG